CAAAUGCAAUAGAAAUGUGUGCUGAACCUGAAAGGCUCUGGAAGCAUGAUUAUUAUUUAGGCUUCUAAAUGUGGAAGUAUGAAUGACUAGAUAUUGACAAGUUCAGAAAAUCUCAAGGUUUGUAAAAAAUGUUUAGCCUAGCAAGAUUCUGUAGUGUACCAAAUUGCUUAUUUAUAUGUUUUCUCCAUCAUUAAUAGAAAUAGACUUUCAGGGAGUUCCCACUGUGGCUCAGUGGAAAUGAAUCUGACGAGUGUCUAUGAGGACGCGGGUUCAAUCCCUGGCCCCACUCAGUGGGUUAAGGAUCCAGCGUUGCUGUGAACUGUGGUGUAGGGUCAUAGAUACGCGGUACAGAUCUGGUGUUGCUGUGGCUGUGGUAUAGGCUGGCAGCUACAGCUCCAGUUCGACCCCUAGCCUGGGAACCUCCAAAUGCCACAGGUAUGGCCCUAAAAAGAGAAAAAAAGAGAAACAGAAUUUCAACUGGGCAAUUGGCCAUUUAGCUAAAGGCUGAAAGGAAUUCCCUUAAAGGGACGAACUGGGUACACACCUCCCCUGGGCCCUUUCCCUGUCACUGGCUGGGAGGUAGUGACAUGUGGAUCAGUUCCUUUGGACCCGCUUGGAGGAGCCACGUGUUGAAGAUGGCAGAGCCAUCCCACUGAUUCUGGACCAACACAUGAAAAAGAAGUUAACCUUUCCUGUGUGCAAGCCAUUGCACUCUGGGGACUCAUUUUGCUGCAGUCGAGCCUGCACCCUAGUUAAUACACCUACCAGGAGAUGGAAUGAGGCAUCUAGUGCCACAAUCCACUGCUCUCCAGGAGUCUUAUGUCCCUUAGGAUUCAACUUGCCCCAACUGAGAUAGGCCAGUGGGCAAUCGUACUACUUGAAAUACCUUGUGGAUUAUACACACUUAGCCUUUUCUUUUUCCCUUGAAAAGGGAAGGCACAUUUUUUUUUUUUCUUUCAAGGGAAUUAAUAUAAUGUCCGCAGAAUGAAGACCUUUUUGUGGUGGUUGUUUCGAAAUCUCAAACCAGUGUAUUUUUGUCUUAGAAAAUACUGAGUUCCUCCUUUCCUGGCGUGGUGGGGUUCCUCUCUACCCAUCGAGAUACUUAAGGGAGAAGUUCAUUCCAUAAGGGGGUUCAGAUAUGGCCAAGAACACUGUGUGUCGAACUUUCUGUGGUGAAGUGUUUCUUUUUUCUUCUUCUUCUUUCAAUUCGUUAUUUUGAAAAAUAUAAAGUCUGAAUGACUAGAGAAAUUAAGAAUGAACAUAAAUGUAAGAGACGCAAUGGUUUCAUUAAAUUCAACAGACAUGGAAUUAGUCUGCCAGAUUUCUAGACAAGUUCCUAAACACUUAGCCUCAAUCCCUCUGCUUCAUUGUUGCAGACAAGUGACAGACUCACGGGGGGCAGGCGCCAGUGUGAGUGGAAAUCACUGGAUCGAUGAUCAAGGGGAUUGUUGCCCAGCUUUCAGUGGCGCGUUGGAGUCUUUUGAGGAAUUCAUCUUGAAACCCGGGAUUUAUUGAGAGCUAAAAGGUUUUUGAAGUUUCCAGUGUUUCCCUUCACAUAUCAAAAGUAAAACGAGGAGGUUUUACUCCAAGCCGUGAUGUUGAAAGAAACAAGACAUAUGGUGCAGAGUUUCCCUCCCAAGGAAGGCGAAAACCUCUUUCAGUCACUGAAGAGUGGGGCACAGAGAGGGGGCAGAGGUUCCAAUGUGAGAGCCCUUGCUCUGUUCUGGAGGAUGAAUUCCCUUUGGUCUACAGAAACAGCCAAAUAUAUUGGGCUGUCCCUGGGUCCCAAACUGCUUCCUUGGGUCCAGCUUGGGGCGACUCUAGGUGUGUCAGAGAUGUGCUCAUUCAGCACAGCAUCAUGUCCAUCAUGGCAAGAAGCAAGGGCCCACCGUGGAAGAGGAAGGUGCCUGGAGAAAUGGUUCUAGCAGCACAGUUCCUGGGAUUUGUAUGUGGUGUCAGCAGAUCCAGGAGUUCUGACGGGUCCCAGUGAGGGAACAUGGCUGUGGAGAAAGGUGUGCUGGAUGGGGAGAGGUCUGGGGUCAGAGGAACAGGGGGUCCUUGUGGCCACAGUCAGUGGUGAGGUCCCUAGUCCUUGGCGGCAGGAACCAUUGAAACACCUUAAAAGUCCAGGACCCAUCAUCUAAGACUCCUCAAGACUACGGCGCCGAGGCAAGCAGCAUUGCCUUGUUGAUUUUGUUCUUAGUAUAUAAAUGUCGGAAUAAUGACAGCUAUGGCUGAGCAGAAUGGCUUCACGAUUCUAAAAGUCUACCAAAUGUUAGCGCUAAGUCCAACCAGGGCUUUGUGAACUCUUCUGAGAGGUCGUAAAGACAAAGGCUUUGGAGUCAGACGGACCUGGGGUUACCCCUGGCUCUGCCAUCUACUUACUCUGCAACCUUGGGGACAUCUGCCUUGCAGGAUUUUGGGGAGGAUUAGCAAACAUGUGUAAAUCACCUUAAGUCUAUGCGUAUGCUCAGUACAGAGAAGAUAAUUCAAGAAAUGGAUGUUGUUCUUUUUUAAAAAAAAAUUGAAAGGUAGUUUAUUUACAGUGUUGUGUUUCAAGUAUACGGCAGAGUGAUUCGGGUCACUUUCAUAUAUACAGAUUCUUUCUAUGCAUUACGAGAUACUGAUUCUAGUUCCUUGUGCUAUACAGUAGGUCCUUGUUGUUCACCAUUUGUAUACAUAGUGGUGUGUAUAUGUUAGUACCAAACUCCUAAAAUAUCUCCCCACCCCUUCCUGCUGUCGCCUUUGGUAAUCAUAAAUUUGUUUUCUUUGUCUGUGACUCUGUUCUUGUUUUGUAAAUAAUUUCAGUUGUAUCAUUUUUUAGUUUCAACAUAUAAGUGAUAUAUAUGGUAUUUGUCUUUCUCUUUCUGACUGAUUUCACUUAGUAUGAUAAUCUCUGCAUCCGGAUUGCUCCAAAUGGCCAUAUUUCAUUCUUUUUUUUCUUUUUUUUUAUGCCUGAGUAAUAGAAAGUUGUUCUUAUAUUGUCUUGUGAUUUGCAACCUGGCACCCUUCUCUUUCAGUUCUCUCUUUUAAGAAAGAAUUGAGGAGUUCCCAUUGUGGCGCAGCAGAAAUGAAUCCAACUAGGAACCAUGAGGUAGCGGUUUCUACCCCUGGCCUCGCUCAGUGGGUCAAGGAUCUGGUGUUGCCAUGAACUGUGGUGUAGGUCACAGACACAGGUCGGAUCUGGCGUGGCUCUGGCUGUGGUGUAGGCCGGCGGCUACGGUUCUGAUUAGACCCCUAGCCUGGGAAACUCCAUGUGCCACAGGUACAGCCCUAAAAAAGACAAAAAGACAAAACAAGAACAACAAAAAAAAAAA
rnacentral:lncRNA from 1 species